rnacentral:rRNA from 1 species
AACGUAGGAGACAAACGUUAUCCGGAGUUACUGGGCGUAAAGGGCGUGUAGGCGGUUAGUUAAGUCUGGCGUGAAAGCUCUCGGCUAAACCGGGAGAGGUCGUCGGAGUACUGGCAAACUAGAGGAUGGUAGAGGCGUGUGGAAUUCCGGGUGUAGUGGUGAAAUGCGUAGAGAUCCGGAGGAACACCAGAGGCGAAGGCGGCGCGCUGGGCUGCACCUGACGCUGAACCACGAAAGCCAGGGUAGGCGAACGGG